rnacentral:rRNA from 1 species
UUUGAUCCUGGCUCAGGAUGAACGCUAGCUACAGGCUUAACACAUGCAAGUCGAGGGGCAGCAUGGUCUUAGCUUGCUAAGGCCGAUGGCGACCGGCGCACGGGUGAGUAACACGUAUCCAACCUGCCGUCUACUCUUGGACAGCCUUCUGAAAGGAAGAUUAAUACAAGAUGGCAUCAUGAGUCCGCAUGUUCACAUGAUUAAAGGUAUUCCGGUAGACGAUGGGGAUGCGUUCCAUUAGAUAGUAGGCGGGGUAACGGCCCACYCUAGUCUUCGAUGGAUAGGGUUCUGAGAGGAAGUCCCCCACAUUGGAACUGAGACACGGUCCAAAACUCUACGGGAGGCAGCAGUGAGGAAUAUUGGUCAAUGGGCGAGAGCCUGAACCAGCCAAGUAGCGUGAAGGAUGACUGCCCUAUGGGUUGUAAACUUCUUUUAUAAAGGAAUAAAGUCGGGUAUGGAUACCCGUUUGCAUGUACUUUAUGAAUAAGGAUCGGCUAACUCCGUGCCAGCAGCCGCGGUAAUACGGAGGAUCCGAGCGUUAUCCGGAUUUAUUGGGUUUAAAGGGAGCGUAGAUGGAUGUUUAAGUCAGUUGUGAAAGUUUGCGGCUCAACCGUAAAAUUGCAGUUGAUACUGGAUAUCUUGAGUGCAGUUGAGGCAGGCGGAAUUCGUGGUGUAGCGGUGAAAUGCUUAGAUAUCACGAAGAACUCCGAUUGCGAAGGCAGCCUGCUAAGCUGCAACUGACAUUGAGGCUCGAAAGUGUGGGUAUCAAACAGGAUUAGAUACCCUGGUAGUCCACACGGUAAACGAUGAAUACUCGCUGUUUGCGAUAUACGGCAAGCGGCCAAGCGAAAGCGUUAAGUAUUCCACCUGGGGAGUACGCCGGCAACGGUGAAACUCAAAGGAAUUGACGGGGGCCCGCACAAGCGGAGGAACAUGUGGUUUAAUUCGAUGAUACGCGAGGAACCUUACCCGGGCUUAAAUUGCAGAUGAAUUACGGUGAAAGCCGUAAGCCGCAAGGCAUCUGUGAAGGUGCUGCAUGGUUGUCGUCAGCUCGUGCCGUGAGGUGUCGGUUAAGUGCCAUAACGAGCGCAACCCUUGUUGUCAGUUACUAACAGGUUCUGCUGAGGACUCUGACAAGACUGCCAUCGUAAGAUGUGAGGAAGGUGGGGAUGACGUCAAAUCAGCACGGCCCUUACGUCCGGGGCUACACACGUGUUACAAUGGGGGGUACAGAGGGCCGCUACCACGCGAGUGAUGCCAAUCCCAAAAACCUCUCUCAGUUCGGACUGGAGUCUGCAACCCGACUCCACGAAGCUGGAUUCGCUAGUAAUCGCGCAUCAGCCACGGCGCGGUGAAUACGUUCCCGGGCCUUGUACACACCGCCCGUCAAGCCAUGGGAGCCGGGGGGUACCUGAAGUGCGUAACCGCGAGGAGCGCCCUAGGGUAAAACUGGUGACUGGGGCUAAGUCGUAACA